rnacentral:lncRNA from 1 species
UUUUUAGUAAAAUAAAAAUAUAAAGGCGAGCUCAAUUAUAAAAAGACUCAUUUAUAUGUAAAGUUUCAACUAUUAGAUCAAAGCAUAAUGAAUAAGAUUUUAUAAAUUUAUUUUUUAUAUAUAUUCAAACUAAUUUUUUUAAUUUAUUGUUUGUUGGCCAGCUCGUGAGCCAGUUCGUGUUCGGUUCGUUAAUAAACGAGCCGAACACGAGCUGAAUUUUUCAGCUCGAUACUUUAACGAGCCAGCUCGGCACGAGCCGGCCCCAGCUCGUUCGUGUUCGGCUUAUUUACACCCCUAGGAGCCGGUAGCAUGCUACCUUCUUAAAAAAAAAAAAAAAAAAAAAAAAAAAAAAANNNNNNNNNNNNNNNNNNNNNNNNNAAAAAAAAAAAAACUCUAUCCAGUGACUUGGAUGCCCACUAACGAACGUAGUGACUCCAGCAAUCUGGCCCACAGACAGUGAAAGUAAGAUCACGUAUUGUGGGUUCUUUAGUCUGGCUUUGAAAAAUAAUUUUGAGUCCAAAAGUGAGCCUUUACCAAUUUUAUUUUCGAUUCUGAUUUGUAGAAUCAAUUUUCUAAUUUGCGAAGUCCAAAAUAAGAAGCAGCUACAAUCUGCUUCUUAAAAUCUUAUUCUGAUUUUGAACUCAAAUUAUAAAUUUUUAUUUUGAUUACAGAUUUAAACUUUAAAUUUAAAUUCAAAUUUUAAGUUUAAUUUUUUUAUUUUUUAAAUUUACAUUUGAAUUUUUUUACAUCAAACUUCAAAUGUUAACUUUUAAAUUUCAAAUUUAAAAUUAUAAAAUUUUAAAAAAUCAAUUCUACAAAAAUCACUCUUCCAGACCAAAGGG